rnacentral:misc_RNA from 1 species
GUACUCAAACAAUAAAUCUCUAUGAGACGAUAUCUUUUCUUUGCUACUUGAACGACCCGUAUACUUGCGGAGUACGCAAUCAGAGAGUUAUAGGAUUUGGGGUGGAACAACAUGACAAAUCAAGUUAGAAAGGAAGAAAAUGGUGGGAGCUUGGAGGAGUGAUGGUUCAACCAUGGUGAGUGAAGAAGAAGAAGAAGGCUUCAUUAAGUAAUUUUGUCUCAUUUUGCUUCCUUCUUAUCCCUUUAUAAUUAUUUGUUAAAUUUUAAUUGGUCAACAAUUUUUAAUGAGGUCAUUACACAUCAUCCUUACCUCAUAAUUCACUUAUAUUUUGAUUUUCUUUCUUUU